UACGGAGGGUGCAAGCGUUAAUCGGAAUUACUGGGCGUAAAGCGCGCGUAGGCGGCUUGAUAAGCCGGUUGUGAAAGCCCCGGGCUCAACCUGGGAACGGCAUCCGGAACUGUCAGGCUAGAGUGCGGGAGAGGGAGGUAGAAUUCCCGGUGUAGCGGUGAAAUGCGUAGAGAUCGGGAAGGAAUACCAGUGGCGAAGGCGGCCAUCUGGACUGAUACUGACGCUGAGGUGCGAAAGCGUGGGUAGCAAACAGG
rnacentral:misc_RNA from 1 species